UAUAGGGCACAACAGAGGUGAGGAAAUACAGGAGUCAUCUAAAGAGCGACAUAGUAAUGGAACUAUCAGUCUAGUAGGAGAGGAAGUUGAUGGAACCAUGUACCUCCUCCCCCUGGUUGUGAUCCUGGGUGUUGUGACUGCUGUUCUACUGAUAGUCAUCCUCAUCCUGGUCCUCAAGAUCAUACGAGAGGCAAAAACACACAACACAGGACCUGAUUCUCAAAGACAACCACAAAAUGAUCAGAACCAAGAUCCAGAUGCAUUGAAUUAUUCCGCCCUGAAUUUCACCUCCAAGAAGAGGAAGAUGGAGAGGAGAAGGGAGAAGGAGCUGGACCCCCAUGUAGUGUAUGCUGCUACAAGAUGACAAAGAGGAGGAGGAUGGAAGAUGAGGAAGAUUGGUUUGCCAUAUCUUUGAAUACACGUUUAAAUAUUUCUAAAUUGAAUGUGUAGUUAAAUAAAAUGUUUUGAAAUCUCUGUAGCCCUCUCCAACUCAGUUAGGCCACACAGCUCAGUGGUACAGGGUUAGGUUAGAGAGGAGGAUUUAGAAGUCAAAACACAACUGUUUAAUGGCCUCAGAGGAGUAGUUGCCUCUUUUUGCCUCACUUAACUUAGAUCUCUGUUGUGUGUUUUAGUGAUUUUUUUAUAGGGUGACCCUGAGGGGCAAAGUACCCAGCAGUAGACAAUUGUAUUGAUCACUUAUAAAGACAAAUAAAGAGUU